CUGGCCCUGGGGCGAGCGGAGGGUGGGGGAAGGAGCCGGUCGGUGGCCAGCCAAGGCCUGAGCCUCAAGCCCCUAGACCUCUCGGGUGCCCUCUUGCAGUAAAUAACGAUGAGGUGUUUGCAAGGCCAAGGAAGGUGGGGGUAAGAACACAGAGCAGCAGGCUCAAGUCCACCUGCGCUGCCUCACCGACAAGCCAGACGGCCCCGGGCAAGUCACGGCCUCCCCGGGUCUCUUGCUCAUCCCGCCAAGGGGACGGCAACGCCCUGCUUCCCAGGAGCCCGUGGGGAGGAUGGCUCGCGCUCUGCACAGAGCCUGGCCCCCGUCCCUGCCCUCCUCUCCUCGAACCCAUCCAGUUUCAGCCUCCAACUGAGGCUCAGAAGGGCAAGGGCCCUUGUCCCGGGCCCCGAGGAGGGCUGGCCCAGCCUCCAGGCCUGCCCGUCUCCACUCUGCCGGCAGUCUACGACAGGCAGGUGCUCAACGCCCAUUUGUGACUUUCAGAAAGAAAACAAGCUCGUGACCAGACUAGAAAGAGAGGAAGCUCCUAUCUGAGGGAGGGGAGAUACCAGAACUGGGCUGGCCCCUCCCUGACGCCGGCCCCGCCAGACCCGGAGGCCUCCACCACCGUCCCAGCUCCUAACGGAUCUCGACAGCCAGAUCAACAUACAGAAGCUGCAGCACUUCGGGGGGCUGCCUGCGGUGGCUACUUCGUGGGCUCCCCCAGGACGCCAGGACGCUGAGCCCCCAGCCCCAGGAAACGGAGACGCGGGAGGAUCGCCCACGGACCGCAGGCCGUCCACUCUACAGUUGGGCAAAAGGCAGGAGGGGGAAGUGUGGGGCGUGGCCGUGAGCUCCACGGGGGCAGGGGCCACACCCUCCUGUGGGCAGCCUCCCAGCUCCAGAGCCGGUAGGUACUGCUGAACACACGCCGACCUGGUGCACGCUUCCCUUUACAGGCUGGGCACACGGAUGCGGGCAGCUGGGGAAAAGGCCCCAGCCUUAAUAGUGGGGCCAAGAGGGCUGCUUUCCUGCAGGCAAAGGGGCUGCGGGGGGCGGGGUGCGUUGUGCUGGGAGUCCCCCACCGGCCGAGCUGGGACCCCAGCGCUGUUCGGUGCUCUGGGCAUGCGCUUUCCCCUGUCACCCCCUUGGACUUCAGUGACAAGGAAGCAGCCCGUAGAGGGGCAGGCCCGCCUGGCAUCACGGCAUGGGUGGGGGUCUGCGGGCACACAGACUUGCUGCUGGUCCCCGCCCCCCAGGCUGCCCGCUAUCCUUCCGUUCAGGCCUCAGCUGCCCCCUGGAAAGAGGGGACUGCCCCCAUCUUAAAUUCUGCCCAGAGAGGUGCCCAGGUCUGAGGCGGGUGCCGAGCGGGCCCACGGUUUGCCCGGGAAGAGCGGUGCCCGCUCCAGGCCGCUGCGCAGGCCUGGGAGGGAGUCCCCGGACGUCACCCUGGGAACCUGGACUGUGCCCGGGCUUGGGAACUCUGACACUGCCCGGGUGUGCGGUGGAACCUCGGGCAAGAGCCUGUGUUCUCCCGACCUCUGAGACCCACAUCGGAGUGAGGGGAAGUGGGGGCAGGCGGGAGGCUUCCUCCUUCAGCCUCGGGGCCCCGUGUACGAAGCCAUUCAUGUUACCACAGGCGCACGCCCAGCAAAUCUUGAUGAAACGUUCCUGGAUCCCUGCCCAGGUCGAAUUCUUUAAAUAAAUAAAAAUAAAGAGUUGCCUA